rnacentral:rRNA from 1 species
GAUGAACGCUGGCGGCGUGCUUAACACAUGCAAGUCGAACGAAGCACUUUAUUUGAUUUCCUUCGGGACUGAUUAUUUUGUGACUGAGUGGCGGACGGGUGAGUAACGCGUGGGUAACCUGCCUUGUACAGGGGGAUAACAGUUGGAAACGGCUGCUAAUACCGCAUAAGCGCACAGCAUCGCAUGAUGCAGUGUGAAAAACUCCGGUGGUAUAAGAUGGACCCGCGUUGGAUUAGCUAGUUGGUGAGGUAACGGCCCACCAAGGCGACGAUCCAUAGCCGAACUGAGAGGGUGACCGGCCACAUUGGGACUGAGACACGGCCCAAACUCCUACGGGAGGCAGCAGUGGGGAAUAUUGCACAAUGGGCGAAAGCCUGAUGCAGCGACGCCGCGUGAGCGAAGAAGUAUUUCGGUAUGUAAAGUUCUAUCAGCAGGGAAGAUAAUGACGGUACCUGACUAAGAAGCACCGGCUAAAUACGUG